ensembl:snRNA Rnu6-321 RNA, U6 small nuclear 321
GUGCUCACUUCAGCAGCACAUAUACUAAAACUGCAAUGAUACAGAGAAGAUCAGCACGGCCCCUGCACAAGGAUGACUCACAAAUUCAUGAAGCGUUCCAUAUUUUU